rnacentral:rRNA from 1 species
AUACGUAGGUCCCGAGCGUUGUCCGGAUUUAUUGGGCGUAAAGCGAGCGCAGGCGGUUUGAUAAGUCUGAAGUAAAAGGCUGUGGCUUAACCAUAGUAUGCUUUGGAAACUGUCAAACUUGAGUGCAGAAGGGGAGAGUGGAAUUCCAUGUGUAGCGGUGAAAUGCGUAGAUAUAUGGAGGAACACCGGUGGCGAAAGCGGCUCUCUGGUCUGUGGCUGACGCUAAAGUACGAAAGCGUGGGGAGC